AUGGCGGGCCCGCCAGCUCUCACCUUCCUCCUGCUGGUCCUCCUCCUCCCGGCACACCAGGCUAUCGCCACAGCAGCCGGCGACGCGCACGGCGGGCCGGCGGCCGGAGGCGCGGCAGGCCGGCGCCAUGCCCCGGGGCUGGAGGAGUACGGCGGCGGGCGCAUCGUGGACAUCACGCACGUGCCGUCCGACGCGGCGGCGGGGCCCCUGGUGCGGCUCAAGGAGUCGAUGGAGAACGGGUCGGACUACAACUUGUCGGAGCUCCGGAUGCCCUGCCACAUGGGCACCCACGUCGACGCGCCGGGGCACAUGAUCCAGGCCCACUUCGCCGCCUGUCUCGACGUCGACACGCUCGACCUGGAGGUCCUCAACGGUCCUGCCUUACUGGUUGAUGUUCCAAGACACACAAAUAUAACAGCUGAAGCAAUGGAAUCCCUAAAUAUACCAAGAGGUGUUCGUCGAGUUCUCUUCAGGACAUUGAACACAGACAGGGGGCUCAUGUGGAAGCAAGGAGGUGAUAUGAGUUUUGUUGGAUUUACGGAGGAUGGUGCACAGUGGUUAGUUGACAACACCGACAUCAAGCUUGUUGGGAUUGACUAUAUAUCAGUUGCUUCAUUUGAUCACUUGAUCACUGCCCAUGUGGCCUUCUUAAAAAAUGCGGAUAUCAUCCCAGUCGAAGCCCUGAAACUAGACAACAUCAACACUGGACUAUACAUGCUGCACUGCUUACCUCUAAGACUGGUUGGCUCCGAGGGUUCACCAAUCAGGUGCAUUCUUAUCAAGUGA
rnacentral:rRNA from 1 species